GACGAACGCUGGCGGCGUGCCUAAUACAUGCAAGUAGAACGCACAGUUUAUACCGUAGCUUGCUACACCAUAAACUGUGAGUUGCGAACGGGUGAGUAACGCGUAGGUAACCUGCCUGGUAGCGGGGGAUAACUAUUGGAAACGAUAGCUAAUACCGCAUAAUAUUGAUUAUUGCAUGAUAAUUGAUUGAAAGAUGCUAUUGCAUCACUACCAGAUGGACCUGCGUUGUAUUAGCUAGUAGGUGAGGUAACGGCUCACCUAGGCGACGAUACAUAGCCGACCUGAGAGGGUGAUCGGCCCCACUGGGACUGAGACACGGCCCAGACUCCUACGGGAGGCAGCAGUAGGGAAUCUUCGGCAAUGGACGAAAGUCUGACCGAGCAACGCCGCGUGAGUGAAGAAGGUUUUCGGAUCGUAAAGCUCUGUUGUAAGAGAAGAACGGGUGUGAGAGUGGAAAGUUCACACUGUGACGGUAUCUUACCAGAAAGGGACGGCUAACUACGUG
rnacentral:rRNA from 1 species